AUACGGAGGGUGCAAGCGUUGUUCGGAAUCACUGGGCGUAAAGGGCGCGCAGGCGGUUUGGUAAGUCAGAUGUGAAAGCCCACGGCUCAACCGUGGAAGUGCAUUUGAAACUGUCAGACUUGAGUACUAGAGGGGAAAGUGGAAUUCCCGGUGUAGAGGUGAAAUUCGUAGAUAUCGGGAGGAAUACCGGUGGCGAAGGCGACUUUCUGGCUAGAUACUGACGCUGAGGUGCGAAAGCGUGGGUAGCAAACGGGAUUAGAUACCCUAGUAGUCC
rnacentral:rRNA from 1 species